UACGUAGGGGGCAAGCGUUGUCCGGAUUUAUUGGGCGUAAAGAGCGUGUAGGCGGCCAGUUAGGUCAGCUGUGAAAACUCGAGGCUCAACCUCGAGACGUCGGUUGAAACCAUCUGGCUAGAGUCCGGAAGAGGAGAGUGGAAUUCCCGGUGUAGCGGUGAAAUGCGCAGAUAUCGGGAAGAACACCCGUGGCGAAGGCGGCUCUCUGGGACGGUACUGACGCUGAGACGCGAAAGCGUGGGGAGCGAACAGG
rnacentral:rRNA from 1 species